GUCUGCUGUGAAAAGAGCUUAUCACCAAUGGUGACCGGAUCAAAACUGGGUUUGGCUGCAAACACACUGUGUGCUCUGACCAUAGCUGUUAUCGUGGCCUUCAUCCACAGUUGGCAGCUCACCCUGUCAUUCUGGCAUGUUUGCUCUUCCCCUCUGAGGCCAACUUCAUUCAAAUGAGGGCAGCGGCGGGACAUUUCUUUGAGGACCAGGAUUGGGUGCUGACAGAAAGGAAGAAUAUCCAUUGCUCUGAUAAGAUGUCCUGGAUAACUGCAACAAAAUGGACCAUCCUCUGUACUGGAGAGCACGAGAUUGCACUGCAGCACAAUUGACUCAAAGGAGGUCAGGUGGGUGAACCGGGCAUGUUUCACCUCAUCAAUACGCAUCACAUCUCAUGGAUAAUCUCUGCAUGCAUUUGUUAAACUUUUAGUCUCAGAGCAGAGUCUUUAACAAACAGUUAAAAGCAGCAAGACUGAAGAAUAGCUUUCUUAAAUAAUUUCUUGAAAAGUUUUCUUAGCGUCCUGAAAUAACACCAGACGUUUCUCUGCAUCAAAGUUGGAAAUUGGUUGGUUGGUUGAUAGAAACGCUAGAUGGCGCUACAAAGCUGUGCAUGAGAAGGAGUCUCUCCGAAGUUUGAAAGAUGCUGGCUUUAGUUCACCACUCAUGGCAAAGCCAAG